CGGUAGGGUAUUGGCCUACCGUGGCUAUGACGGGUAACGGGGAAUUAGGGUUCGAUUCCGGAGAGGGAGCCUGAGAAACGGCUACCACAUCUAAGGAAGGCAGCAGGCGCGCAAAUUACCCAAUCCUAAUACAGGGAGGUAGUGACAAGAAAUAACAAUACAGGACCUUUAUUGGUUUUGUAAUUGGAAUGAGUUAAGUAUAAACCCCUUUACAAGUAUCAAUUGGAGGGCAAGUCUGGUGCCAGCAGCCGCGGUAAUUCCAGCUCCAAUAGCGUAUAUUAAAGUUGUUGCAGUUAAAAAGCUCGUAGUUGGAUUUCUGUUAAUAGUUUCAUAUAUAAUAUCCAUUGAUAUUAUUAUGACAUUAACAUAACUCAUAUUUACUUUCGGGUUUUUAUGAGAUUUUACUUUGAGAAAAUUAGAGUGCUUAAAGCAGGCAAUUGCCUUGAAUACUACAGCAUGGAAUAAUAAUAAAAGAUUUUUAUCUUUUUUUUUAUUGGUUCUAAGAUAAAAAUAAUGAUUAAUAGGGACAGUUGGGGGCAUUUGUAUUUAACAGUCAGA
rnacentral:rRNA from 1 species